GGCGUACUCCAGAGUAAGUUUCGAGAUCAGUGGGGCUACCGGGAGUUGACGAGUGACAUGCGAUGACGAGCCGAUGACAGGUCAUCGGUUCAAGAUUAAACAAGAACGAGAACAUUUUCAAACAAAAAACCGAAAACAAAAUGUCAACUUUCCUUGCUAUUACCAAGUCUAUUUUAUCCUUGGCUUUGAUGCUAUUUAGAUAUGCAUUUUACCGUGCUAUUUCGUCCCUUUUAACCGGCCUGAUACUGUUAUUUAUGGCUAUUUUAAUGUUCGUUACAUUCUACCAAGCCUACAUGCCCGAAGUGUCCCAUGUGAAGCCAGUAUAUCUUCAAUUCAGGUAGGUAAAACAUAAACAAAACUACAUAUUCCAUUUCUUUAAUGUUCAAACUCGAAAGCAGUGAUUUGAGACAAUGUAGUUUUGUUUAUACAGUUCAGAUUGCCACGGGCAGACGACGGCUUUAUGUACAUAUCCCGAAGCAAGCGUGUUUUUCACUCCAUCGAACAAAGCGAACGAAGAAAGGGUUAGUUUUAGAGCUAUAUUAUUAUAAAUUUGUAUCAAAAUGGUUUCUUUCACACUUUAAGUUUGUAAUACACAACCAGACUAUAUAAUUUCGGAUUAAGUCAAGCUCCUACAAUUAGGCUCUUAAACUAUCGUGUUUGUGUUUGAAUUUUGGUGAAAAAUAUACGCUGUUUUUCCCGCCAAAAGACCAAAUGUUUGUAUUUUACACAUUUAAAGUUUCGAGCAUGUUUUAAGAUUUAGAAUGAUAGAAAAAGCUUCAAUAUUAAGAGUACGAUAGUCGGCUACGCUUAAAUUUGAGAACGAAGUUAAUUUGCAUGUCAUUUGUAAACAUAAUUAAAUAUUCAAGUGAAACACGAAUUCGCUGAUACGGAAAAUUAAUGCAUAUAGGCACAGCAUCUUUAAAACGCUAUAUAACGCUUCGAUAAUAUCGUUUUCAUGCUGGACUUUUAAUUUUUUGUGGAUUUUUCCAGAUGUUAAUGCGAGGUCAAGCGUACAAAGUUUUUCUAGAUCUUGAAAUGCCUCCAUCACCAACGAAUGAAAAGCUGGGUAAGU